AGAGUUUGAUCCUGGCUCAGAACGAACGCUGGCGGCAGGCCUAACACAUGCAAGUCGAACGCGUGUAGCAAUACACGAGUGGCGCACGGGUGAGUAACACGUGGGAAUCAACCCAGAGGUUCGGAAUAACCGCGGGAAACUGCGGCUAAUACCGGAUAUCCCCUACGGGGGAAAGAUUUAUCGCCUUUGGACGAGCCCGCGUCCGAUUAGCUAGUUGGUGAGGUAACGGCUCACCAAGGCUCCGAUCGGUAGCUGGUCUGAGAGGACGACCAGCCACACUGGAACUGAGAUACGGUCCAGACUCCUACGGGAGGCAGCAGUGGGGAAUAUUGGGCAAUGGAGGCAACUCUGACCCAGCCAUGCCGCGUGGGUGACGAAGGUCUUCGGAUUGUAAAGCCCUUUCGGCGGGGACGAUGAUGACGGUACCCGCAGAAGAAGCCCCGGCUAACUUCGUGCCAGCAGCCGCGGUAAU
rnacentral:rRNA from 1 species